rnacentral:rRNA from 1 species
AUGGUUGUCGUCAGCUCGUGUCGUGAGAUGUUGGGUUAAGUCCCGCAACGAGCGCAACCCUCGUCCUAUGUUGCCAGCGGGUCAUGCCGGGGACUCAUGGGAGACUGCCGGGGUCAACUCGGAGGAAGUGGGGAUGACGUCAAAUCAUCAUGCCCCUUAUGUCUUGGGCUUCACGCAUGCUACAAUGGCCGGUACAAAGGGCUGCGAUACCGCGAGGUGGAGCGAAUCCCAGAAAGCCGGUCUCAGUUCGGAUUGGGGUCUGCAACUCGACCCCAUGAAGUCGGAGUCGCUAGUAAUCGCAGAUCAGCAACGCUGCGGUGAAUACGUUCCCGGGCCUU